CACCGGCCGCUCCUUCUGGAUCGCGCCGCCUGCGGGUCCCCAGGCUUUCUCUCCACCGCUCCUUCCACCCAGGCCCCAGGCAGUGGCUGCGAGAGACGAAUCCACGUGGACAGAGAGUGGGCGGCGGUCAUCAUCAGCACGGCGGCACGGCCCACGGUGCGCUCAGCACUCGCUGCCAGAGGGGAACGAGCAGAAACCCCAGAGAUUUCCGUACCUCCGGGCAAAAGAACGGCCUGUCAGAGCACAGGGCUGUCUCCACAGCAGCAUCACCCCAGUGGCCUGAUGGCAGGGCCCUGUCGGGAAGGUCAGCCAUCUGGUGGGCGUAGAGUCCUCUCCCUCCCAGGCCCGUGAUUCCACAGCCACCGGGACAACCGGAAUCCUGCAAGACCAUCCUAUCUUCUGCAACCGUGUCCUUGGUUUUGGCAUUAAAAUGUUAUUCUUUGUGUUAAGUGAUGGUGAUAACAGAUGAUGAUUUUUUUUAAAUGCUUACAUUUGGCAAAAUAAAAGGUUGACAGCC